AUGUUCAACGACUUGGCAGAGACCAGGGUCAUGGAUUCACUGCAGCCGGAUGAUGGGUGUUUGUGCGACACAGAGGAAGGAGGAAGGCAUGUAGGAGAUGAAGGAGAAGACCAUGACCGGAAGAGGACGCAUGUGUUGGGCAGGUGUGAGCUGCGUGAGGCAGAGAAGGCGACGGUGAAUGGUGUUGGUUUGCUGUGGACAUGUGCAGCAAGUAUGUGGCGGCAGGCGUGUGCUUUGCUGCUUUCCCCCGGCGAAGAGAUGCAUGAAGUAGAGAAUACGGGUGAGACCGAACAGCAUGAUAGCCACGAGGAUACAAGUCUUCCAAGUUUGGCUCAUUUUAUCUAUACAAAUGAGGCCAACACUGAAAAGGCCACAAUUGCUGCUCACAUAACUGAUCCGGAGUGGGUAUUAGACUCUGGUGCAUCUCAACAUGUUGCAGGUGACUUCAGGGAAUUUGAGUCAUAUGAUCAGCACAUUCCCUCUCCAUGUAACAGUAUAUGUACUGCUGACGGGAAAUUGCGGCAUAUUAAGGGCAUUGGGACAGUUCAAUGUACCCCUACUAUUAAGCUAUCUUCGGCCCUACAUGUGCCAGCUUUCCAGGUCAAUCUGGUGUCUCUGAGUGCUCUAAUCAACCAUGUGGACUGUAGGAUAACACUGACAGAGGAAUGUGCUUGA
rnacentral:rRNA from 1 species